UACGGAGGGUGCGAGCGUUAACCGGAAUCACUGGGCGUAAAGCGCGCGUAGGCGGCUUUUCAAGUCAGGGGUGAAAUCCCACGGCCCAACCGUGGAACUGCCUUUGAAACUGUAGAGCUUGAGUGUCGGAGAGGGUGGCGGAAUUCCAGGUGUAGGAGUGAAAUCCGUAGAUAUCUGGAGGAACACCGGUGGCGAAGGCGGCCACCUGGACGACAACUGACGCUGAGGUGCGAAAGCGUGGGUAGCAAACAGG
rnacentral:rRNA from 1 species